UGGCUGGGUGCACGGCGCUUUAUCUCCCCCUGCUGGUGGAGCCUAGUCCUGGGAAGCCACGGAGGAAUGGGAGGGGCCCACAAGUUUCUGAAGAAAACCGUCCAGGUCUCAGAGCUAGACUUCAGCGGCAUUUGUAGAGUGAAACGGGCCUGCGGAUACCUGAUCCCGGUCUAAAAAUUGACUUUCUUCAUAUUUCUCCCAGCUCCAAACCCCACAACUCCAUGAGCAGAAGCCGGAGUGCUAUGUUCCAACGACAAGUAAGACAAACCUCAAGGAGCUUACAGCCUGAAGUUUCCCACCUUAGGUUUGGAUGAGACGAAAACUGAUGAGAAAGUAAGGAAGGUGUAGUAAGGAGGUUGGCUAAUAGGUGCAAAAGGACUUGAUAAGCCCUGAGCUAACAUCUGCUGCCAUUCCUCCUCUUUCUGCUGAAGAAGACCGGCCAU